GUUUUUUAAGAGCUUAGGAUCACAAUGGGGAAAAUAAUCCAAAAAAACAGGCAAGAUAUUAUAGCGGGGAAAAACAUUAAUCAUAACUUAGGAUUUCUCUCCCCAUGGAACUGUUAUCAGCUAUAAAUCGGUUUAGGAUUCUAUCAAGAUCAGCAAUGGCAAAACCUCCGCAGGCUUCCAGCCCACACAGGGGCACCUUCCUCUCCUCUUCCAUGCAGGGCAGUUGGAAGCCCCCUCCCCAGUUUCCUCUCCAGGAUCACUGACUAGACCUGGGCCAAGUCUGAGGAGGCCUGGGAGCCAGUACACAUUCAGGGGUCACUGACUCUUCAGAUAAUGCCCUAAACAACUGGAGUGUGGGCUUGUUUGCUCCAAGAGCAGCUGCCCUGUCAGUGGAACUCCGGCGCACUUCCACUCAAUACUGGACUGGGGGGGAUGAAAGAGGGAUUUUUAAAUGGCAGAAAAGUGUUCUUCUGGGCUGUCUGGCCCGGGCAGGGCGGGUUGUGACUUGGAAAAGAAGGGGAAGGUAGGGAGGCCUUGAACUUAGGGACAGCCAGCAAAUGAUCCUUGCAGCUUUUGGAACACAAGGCAGGGCUAAGGUUACCUUUCAGCUUCCUUGCUUAAGUAGCAGUGGCUAAGUGGGUUAAACUUUGCUCGGCCUGCAGGCUCCCCCUGUUGGUCAGAUACUUGCAUUGACAUCCUCAGUGUUCAAUGCUCCUGGAAGAGCCCAGGAGAGGGCGGCACUGGCCCAGGGAUUGCAGGUCAGGGAACUCUAGCAAAUUCCCACACCCUAGGGUACAGCCAAGAGGCCCAUUCACAAGGAAAAAGCUCUUCCUUACAGCAAGGAUGCCAGUCAUCUGCCCUCCUACUGCAGGAAACUGCCCUUGCUUAAAAGAAAUGCACAGGCUCAUACACACACACACACACACACACACACACACACACACACACACACACACUCACUCACCAAGGUUUCCUUUGGACUUCUGCCCUUCUUCCUAGGCCCAAGCAGAGGCUAUUCUCAGCCAGGUCUGGAGGCGCCCCUGUGAUGAUGCUCAGGGCAGAGGCCUCCCCAUGGUACUCUACCUGGCAGAUGUGCUUGGGGGCCACCUAAGGAGUGGAGGAGGCCCCGGGUGCCCCCCACCCUCCUCUUAGACUGGAGAUACAAUUGAGACGCACUGAGCAGGGAUCUCAGUGGGCCUAAGAAAAAAGGCUGGCUGCACAUUUGUGUAGCAAUUGAGAAAGAAGCAGAAUGUAACUUCCCAGACUUAAAGGCCCCACACUAACUCUAGUCCCCAUGAAGCGGAAUUCUUCCUUUCCCUCACAUUCUGAAAGCUACCAGCCAUUACGCCUUGCCCAUCAGUUCUGCCCAGCGGAGGCUCCACUGGGCCGCCCUCUGUUAGCAGGAAGGGUGCUUGGAAGCCCCGGCACAGAGCACAUCAUUGAGCGACUGAGGCGCCCAGCAGAGGCCAAGUGGAGGACGCCAACCGCUCACAUUAGGCAGAAGGGGUCUCACUUGCAUCAGCAUGGAGAUGUCAGGGGCUUUUCAGAAACUUACAAACUUGUACAGAGCAUGGCAGCAAUGAUUCAGUGGGGUGGGAACUUAUACAAAGGCAGAGCAUGGGGGGGUCCAGGGUUUGGAAGGUGGGGUCCAGUGUGUCUGACCAGGCCAACCUGAUGACUGAUUACUCAACAAGUCAGAGUGAUCCUGCCUGAAGGAAAAGCCAGCACCAGAUUCCCACCUUUGCGAGCUACACCCUCAGGUGAGUAGCCAGGACAGGGCACUGCAUUCAUCCUGAGCUGCCCCCACUCCCCCAGCAGACAUCAAGAGCCCCCUUCCCUGGACUUUGGUGCCAUCAGAGGGGACACAACACAAGCCCACCUGUCAGGAGCCCAGCUCCGGUCGCGCCACAAAUUCUUAAGGACCGACUUCACUCCUGUCCAAAUCUUGGCUCAAAGAUAAUCCUCUCCAAGUCCAUGAACAGCGUGAGUCUUUCAUCUCUACUUUCCUCCUCAUAGCGGGGCUGGAGGGAGGGUGAGUUUACCAGAAACUCCAAAAUCCCUCAAUCCUGUAUUUCCUUCCCAAAGGGAUUCUAAAAGAAAUUACGGCCAAGGUAUGUGUCUGGGCAUGGGGACAUGGAGGAAAGGGGCCUCAUCUCCUUUUUCGUCCCUGGCUGGGCUCUCUGGACAACACAGGCACGUCCCCCUGACUGAGGUCCCCAUGGCUGUCCCUGAGCAGGCCACCAGCCCCACGGCACACGGUCUCUCUCCUGCACCCUGCCCAAAGCAGACAGAACAACAGUAUAGUGAAGGUGGAUGAUUAACAGUGGAAAUAAAAGAAGCCUGUGAUCAAUCCCUCCUCUCCCUCCCGC
rnacentral:lncRNA from 10 species